CGACCGGCGCACGGGUGAGUAACACGUAUGAAACCUGCCCGUAGCAGGGGGAUAAGCGGAAGAAAUUCCGUCUAAUACCGCGUAACAACCCAUGGAGGCAUCUCUGUGGGUUUAAAGGAAGCGAUUCCGGCUACGGAUGGUCAUGCGUCGCAUUAGCUUGUUGGCGGGGUAACGGCCCACCAAGGCGACGAUGCAUAGGGGUUCUGAGAGGAAGGUCCCCCACACUGGUACUGAGACACGGACCAGACUCCUACGGAAGGCAGCAG
rnacentral:rRNA from 1 species